rnacentral:rRNA from 1 species
GAUGAACGCUGACAGAAUGCUUAACACAUCAGCAAUUGAUUGGUGGCGGACGGGUGAGUAACGCGUAAAGAACUUGCCUCACAGCUAGGGACAACAUUUAGAAAUGAAUGCUAAUACCUGAUACUGUGAGAGAGCUUUGCGUCCCAUUAGCUAGUUGGAGAGGUAACAGCUCACCAAGGCGAUGAUGGGUAGCCGGCCUGAGAGGGUGAACGGCCACAAGGGGACUGAGACACGGCCCUUACUCCUACGGGAGGCAGCAGUGGGGAAUAUUGGACAAUGGACCGAAGUCUGAUCCAGCAAUUCUGUGUGCACGAUGAAGUUUUCGGAAUGUAAAGUGCUUUCAGUUGGGAAGCGGUACCAACAGAAGAAGUGACGGCUAAAUACGUGCCAGCAGCCGCGGUAAUUC